rnacentral:rRNA from 1 species
AUUGAACGCUGGCGGCAGGCCUAACACAUGCAAGUCGAACGGAGCAGCGGACGGGUGAGUAAUGCCUAGGAAUCUGCAUGGGAGUGAGGGAUAACGUCAGGAAACGGGCGCUAAUACCGCAUCCUCUCAGAUUCACCUCGGUCGGAUUAGCUAGUUGGUGGGGGAAAGGCCUACCAGGGCGACGAUCCGUAACUGGUCUGAGAGGAUGAUCAGUCACACUGGAACUGAGACACGGUCCAGACUCCUACGGGAGGCAGCAGUGGGGAAUAUUGGACAAUGGGCGAAAGCCUGAUCCAGCCAUGCCGCGUGUGUGAAGAAGGUCUUCGGAUUGUAAAGCACUUUAAGUUGGGAGGCGUUACCAACAGAAUAAGCACCGGCUAACUUCGUGCCAGCAGCCGCGGUAAGUC